UUAAAUCAUUAAAUUAAAAAGAUUUGGCGGUAUUUUAUAUAAUUAGAGGAACCUGUUUAGUAAUUGAUAUUCCACAAUAAGAAUAACUUAAAUAUUUAUGUAUUGCUGUUUUAAGAUUAUUAUUAAUUAAAUUUUUAAUAAUUUAAUUUAAAUAAAUUCAAGUCAAAAUAUAGUAUAAUUAAGUUAUGGGUUACAAUUUAUUUUAGAAAUUGGAUUUAAUAGUAA
rnacentral:rRNA from 1 species